rnacentral:rRNA from 1 species
AAAUUGAAGAGUUUGAUCAUGGCUCAGAUUGAACGCUGGCGGCAGGCCUAACACAUGCAAGUCGAACGGUAACAGGAAACAGCUUGCUGUUUCGCUGACGAGUGGCGGACGGGUGAGUAAUGUCUGGGAAACUGCCUGAUGGAGGGGGAUAACUACUGGAAACGGUAGCUAAUACCGCAUAACGUCGCAAGACCAAAGAGGGGGACCUUCGGGCCUCUUGCCAUCGGAUGUGCCCAGAUGGGAUUAGCUUGUUGGUGGGGUAACGGC